AAACCCACGUGACAUGGAUGUACUGUACAUAUUAUGCUUUAAGAUACAAUCGUUUCUACAAAGCAAAGUAAAACCCACAAACAAUCUGCUCGCAAAGGCAAGGGUUAUUAUAGAGAUGUGGGGUGAAGAGGUAGGAGUGUAUGAGCUGUAAGAGGCUUUUCUAGUCGGGACUUAAGGAGAAUCUGUCACAUCUCCCUAAAGGCCAGGUGCUACGGGUCUAUCAAAGCAGUUUUAUUAACCAGAUCUAUCCAGUGGAAUUACCAGGAGCCUAUUACCGCACCAGCUUCGCUAUGAACUAAUAGAACUGUUCACAGCUUUUUCGAGAAUCACAUCUGAGAUAGAACUACAGACAAUCAGAUACGGAGGAGGCGGAGCUGAGCGAGUAAGCAGUAAUUAUGCACUCACACUGUUGUAAGUGGAUGACACCCAACUGGAUGCUGUUUGCAGAAAAGACAGCAGGAGAAAAAGUCUCUAUUCUCCCUCUGGAGCUGGAAAGCAGAGACAAAAUGUUCCAGAGCCCGUGGAGCAGAGAGCCCACAGCGAGCAAAGGGUUUGCUGCCUCCACCACCAUUAACGGAGGACCCUUGAGAUAUGACCAACUUCUGUUUCCCCGCUGUUACACAUUUUCAAGUUUGAAGAGGUAGCUUUUUUUUUUUACCCUAAGGAUACUAGUCAUUGAUGCACUUGAGAUCUACAAGAUCUUAUGUUCUUAAAGUCACGAUAGGAGUCCACCUGAAAUAGUCUCCUGGUCUAAAUCUAUAAUAACUCCUUUCUCAUGUUGCCUUCAGCCCCUACAAAGUUAAAGCCACCUAAAUAACAUCAAAAGGCUAUUUUCUUGUGACUUGUAAAAUAACAUAUUCAAAUCUCCCACACUCACCUGUUAAGAGCCAUUGUGACGGUGGCUCCGGGCUGCAUUUCGUGACUUGCGGCAACAGCGGCUUCUGCCAGGGAUGCUACAGCCUGCGUGGCCUCUGAGGCCUGAGUGGUU